UCCCCAUCAUGUGCCUUCCAGCUCAUGGCGCACUCAUGCUGCUGCAUAUCAAAGAGACGAACAAUCCCAUCUGCAGCCCCUGUGACCAGCAGGUUGCCGUUGUGGUUGAAGGCUGUGCAGUUAAUAGCAAUAGGCUCAGGCUCCAGGGAGAACUGCAGCUGCUGCUUCAUUGUUUUAGUGUCCCACAGCAACAGCUUCCCAGGAACUUGGUUCAUGCUUUUGCCCCCAGAAGUGACUACUGAGAAGUCCAUGUGGGAGAUGGGGCUUUGGGCU
rnacentral:lncRNA from 1 species